CUAAAAGUUCAUAUUUAAUUGCAAAGCAUGCCCUCUUCUGUAUAGGCCAGGUAGCCAUGCAGCACAAUAUAGAUAUCCGUUAUCUGUUUGCCUAGGAUGGAAGCUCAACUCUAUUCCAUAAACGGGGAACCAAUACUAUAACCCGAACGAAUUCAAGAGGAUGCCAAGAUCUUGGUCAGGCCCAGUGUUCAGCAUCACCUGAGGGGACAGUAGGGAGAAAAGAUUCAUUGGCAUCUACUCUCAACCCCCAUUGGGCCACUGUGACCAAAACCUUGCAAAAAAGAAAAAGAAAAACAUAAUUAAGUUGUAGGUUCCACCGCCACGUUCCCCUACCUAAUGCUCAUGGUCUGCUUAUCCGGGGGGUUCUGAGUGGAAUCGAGUUUUACCUGUACCCUGAUCUCAGCAGGCUGAAGGAGCCUCAGGCGUAUAAAGGCUCUUGCAAAAACUGGCUGCACAAUUCCUGGCCCUAUGGAAUGCAAUUUACUGGCCCUACGGAACAGGACUUUCUGGCCCUAUGGAAUGGGACUUACUGGCCCUAUGGAACGGGACUUGAUGGCCCUACGGAACGGGACAUAUUGGCCCUACGGAACGGGACAUACUGGCCCUAUGGAACGGGACUUGAUGGCCCUACGGAACGGGACAUAUUGGCCCUACGGAACGGGACAUACUGGCCCUAUGGUAUGGGACAGGACUAUCUGGCCCUACAGAACAGGUCUUUCUGGACCUACAGUAUGGGAAUUACUGGCCCUAUGGAAUGCGAUUUACUGGCCCUAUGGAACGGGACUUACUGGCCCUACGGAACGGGACAUACUGGCCCUACGGAAUGGGACAUUCUGGCCCUACGGAACAGGACUUUCUGGCCCUAUGGAAUGGGACGUACUGGCCCUAAGGAAAGGGAUGUACUUGUCCUAUGGCAAAAAAAACCCACUUUAUUAAACAAAAUGAAUAUAAAAUACCCCCAUUAAACAGACCCAGAAACCCAGAGCAGACAAGGUAAGGAAUAAAGGGAAUUGUACCUGGGUCGCCAGGGUGCUCCCCCGUCUGUGCCCGAGGUGGUAGCACCCAUUGUAACACAUAAAGGUCACAUGACUGAAGUCUCACAUCCCAGUAACAGGCAGGACAGUCCUGUUUGGUUCCAUGGCAGCAACAACGUCUCUUGUCUCACAGAAAUAAACUCCCGUAAUAAUUACUGAAAAAGGGAAAAGAAAAUGGAAACUGUGUGACUGUAAAUAGACAAAGCUCUUUAAUAAGUUUCUCACAGAGAAUAUUUUCCUAUUGCAGGUGAAUAAAAUCCACUUUCUUUUGUGAA